GGGAUUUCCUGUCUUUGAAGUGUAGCACUUUGUCACCUGUUUGGAUAGGCUCCCUAAAAGUAAGGGCUCUGUUCCUACUUUGCAAGACUUAGUGACUCCAUGUUCCCUGGCUGGAGUUUCCCAGAUCACUGAGGGCCGCGCACUGCAGGUGUGGGUCUUUCCUUUACAAGUCGGCGCCUGCAGAUCCCAUAUUCCAGACUUCAUUCCUCUAGGUCAGAGCCUACAAGAAAAGCCCGGAGCCAUCCACUCACCUGGGUGAGGCCAUAAAGAGGUAAGCUUUCAUAAUGAGGAGCCAUCUAUCAAAAUUCAUAGCUUCUGAGAACCGGAAUAACUAGUGCUUAGGCAUUAGAGUCUCUUGCUAGAGCAAAACACAACAACUGGGGAUAAAUGUGCCACAGUGGGCGACACCCAUUUAAGUAACGACCCACGUUCAAAUGUGCUUUUAAAAAUGUAUUAUUUUUACCUAAGAAUGCAUAUUACUUCAUCACCUUUUAGUAUAUGGAUCCUACAGUUAAGUAUUCUUAGUGAAAAUUUGCAUAUUUACGAGGAAAAUGCGAUUCCCGUUGAAUAACAUGUUAGGAGACGGCCAUGAAUUGAUUGUAGGAACUGCAGGUAUGCUUAUUUUUGCCAAAUGAUGCAACAUGUGCCAAACCUCUUUAUAAACUAUAACACACCCUGCGAAGGAAAAGGUAUUUGUGUAGAUUUAAAUGACCAUUUAGCCUUAGUAUGUCCACCAACUGAUCUGUUAGUUAGGCACCUCCACCAACGAAUCACUACAAAGACUCAACUUGUUCUCUUUCGGAGAGGUUCACUACUUGUUUGAAAGCUUGGGCACAAAUCAGGCAUCUUCACAGUAUCCCUCACCAAGAGUGUUUUCAUGUGAAUAUUAAGUAAACUAUCAGAAGUUUACACAUUUGGGGUGCUUUCUUUUCAGAGAACUGGAUGCUCGUAUACAUGAAAUUAAGACCUUUUGGUUAAGUAAGAGGGAGAAAAUCAAGAUAGAUUUCUACACAGUUCCGGUUUAAGGUCAUGAUCAGAGAAGAAACUGAGCGUGCCUAAAGGAAGGAGUAUGGGGCUAAAUAUGUAUCUGAUUUUUUCAUAAGGAAUGGAAAUGCAGUUUUGAUGUCUAGACAUUUUUCUUUUGGUGGGUAUUAAUCACUUUGAUCCAUUUGAUUUCUCGGGAAGAAAUUGUAGCCGUUGUAACUGAGUCCAUCCUACUGGGUUGCUUUCUCACGAGUGGCAUAGGAAUCACCUAGAAAGAAACAUCACGUGCACAAAGCAUCCACCCAAGGGGCACACCUCUCUCAUCUCUCACAAAGCAAGUGGUAGGCUGUCCAGCAGAGGAAGUAGACUCAGAUUCAUGCACUUGUCUCAUGUUUUUGGUGAUCUUCUCCCUGGUCCCUGCUCUUGGUAACUGUAAGCCAAGUGUGUGUGUAUCAGAUGGAUUCUCUAGCUCCCAAAUGAAAAUUCUGUCUUUAGUCACACACUCCUGCACCUUUCACAUCGGGAAAAUGUUCCAAUUAUUCCUUGAUUACAUCACAGAUCAUAUGAGAACCAGCGGGUGGAAACAGGGUACAGAGCAGCUGAAUAUCUCUGCAAACUCGGAGCACUUAAAAAUACUUUGAAGACACACAGCUGCUCUCUCUUUUUUUAAUUGUUUUCAGUAAAACUCCAAAAACCCCACAAUGUGUACCUUAAAAGCAUCAGGAGUAUUUUAAUUGGGUAAUAACCAUCCAUAUUUUCCUUCUGAUAAAAGGGUUUAAGAAUGAAAUUUUAUGAUGAUUAUAAACUGUAUUACUGACCCAAGGGACAAGAACAAUUAUGAAAAACAUGUCCUACAUAUUUGGCGUGAUGUGAAUUUAGACUUCGAAAUCAUUCAUCUUAAAUGCUCCAGCAACUUAUUAAAGCUUAUAAAAUAAUAUUCACAUAAUGACAACAGGGUAACUUACAAUCAUGAUUGAGAUGAUGUCAUCAAUAUUGCAGUGGGGCUCCUCACCAAAGACUGAAGCUGACUUGGUCUUUGCCCCUUGGGCUUCUGAUAAAACUAGAUAUACGAUAAAAGAGGUAUACAAAGACGGUAACAGAUUUUGUGUAUCCGAGAUCCCCUUUUGGUCGAUGACUGUUUUACAAAUGCUUUUAGCACAUCAUAUCGUUUCCCCUUCUCCCCCUCCUGUUCUCUUCUCUUUCUUUCUUUCUUUUUUUCUUCUCUCCUCCAGUUAAAAUUACCAACCAUGAGAAGGAAAAGUGAUUUUUGGAAAACAUGAAACAUUGGUGAAUCGGAGUCUGACUACUAAAUUUGGGAGUGGAUCUGGACAAAAUGAAAGUUUACAUCUAGCAGCUGAGCAGCUGAGGAUGAGUUCGGCUCAUGUGAACGUGAAUCCCCAGGUGAGGGUAAACCACCACACUUAGCCCAGCUUCAGCC
rnacentral:lncRNA from 1 species